rfam:Chelonia mydas contig251749, whole genome shotgun sequence.
AGUUUUCCUGGCAUUUAAGAGUAAAUCAUGCACAGUUAGUUGAAGAACAUUUUAUACAUCACUCAUCCUGUUAUAUCCAUGAAGCUGUGCAAUUUCCCUACAAGG